GUCUUGUGUAGCUUAGAUUAGAGUUCAAUAUUGAAGAUAUUGAGGCGGUUAUACCUGCAGACA
rnacentral:tRNA from 1 species